rnacentral:rRNA from 1 species
CGCCUGUUUAUCAAAAACAUGUCUUUUUGUUAGUUGUUUAAGGUUUGGCCUGCUCCAUGAGUGUUAAAUAGCCGCAGUAUUUUGACUGUGCAAAGGUAGCAUAAUCAUUAGUUUUUUAAUUGAAAGCUGGUAUGAAUGGUCGGAUGAGAAAAUAACUGUCUCAUAUAAAUUUGACUAGAAUUUUAUUUUUAAGUAAAAAAGCUUAGAUAAAAUAAAAAGACGAGAAGACCCUAUAGAGUUUAAUGGGUAUAAAAUAUAGAGAAUUCAAGGGUUUUAAUUUUCCUAUGUUUUUUCCUAUUUUGUUGGGGUGACAAGAGAUUGAAUGAAACUUCUCUAUAUUUAAACAUUGAUUAAUGAAGCAGUGAUCCUUUAUUUAAGAUUAAAAGACUAAAUUACCUUAGGGAUAACAGCGUAAUUUUUUCAGAGAGCUCUUAUCAAUGAAAAAGUUUGCGACCUCGAUGUUGGAUUAAAGUUAAUUUCUGGUGCAGAAGCUAGGAUAUUGAGUCUGUUCGACUCUUGAAACUUUACGUGAUCUGAGUUUAGACCGG